GGUGGAGCGAUUUGUCUGGUUUAUUCCGAUAACGAACGAGACUCUGGCCUACUAAAUAGAGACAGAAUUAUUACUGUUCUGGAUUCUUCUUAGAGGGACAAGUGGUUUUCAGCCACACGAAAUUGAGCAAUAACAGGUCUGUGAUGCCCUUAGAUGUCCGGGGCUGCACGCGCGCUACACUGAAGGAAUCAGCGUGCUAAAACCAUUGUCGAAAGGCAUUGGUAAACCCAUCAAAAUCCUACGUGAUUGGGAUCGGGAAUUGCAAUUAUUUCCCUUGAACGAGGAAUUCCCAGUAAGUGUGGGUCAUCAGCUCGCGUUGAAUACGUCCCUGCCCUUUGUAC
rnacentral:rRNA from 1 species